rnacentral:tRNA from 1 species
GGGGACGUAGCUCAGCUGGUAGAGCGUCGCGUUCGCAAUGCGAAGGUCAGGGGUUCGAGCCCCCUCGUCUCCACCA